CAGCAGCCGCGGGAAUACAGAGGGUGCGAGCGUUAAUCGGAUUUACUGGGCGUAAAGCGUGCGUAGGCGGCUUUUUAAGUCGGAUGUGAAAUCCCUGAGCUUAACUUAGGAAUUGCAUUCGAUACUGGGAAGCUAGAGUAUGGGAGAGGAUGGUAGAAUUCCAGGUGUGGCGGUGAAAUGCGUAGAGAUCUGGAGGAAUACCGAUGGCGAAGGCAGCCAUCUGGCCUAAUACUGACGCUGAGGUACGAAAGCAUGGGGAGCAAACAGGAUUAGAUACCCCGGUAGUCCCUGUCUCUUAUAC
rnacentral:rRNA from 1 species